rnacentral:rRNA from 1 species
CAGUCGCCGCGGUAAUACGAAGGGGGCUAGCGUUGUUCGGAAUUACUGGGCGUAAAGCGCACGUAGGCGGAUAUUUAAGUCAGGGGUGAAAUCCCAGAGCUCAACUCUGGAACUGCCUUUGAUACUGGGUAUCUUGAGUAUGGAAGAGGUGAGUGGAAUUCCGAGUGUAGAGGUGAAAUUCGUAGAUAUUCGGAGGAACACCAGUGGCGAAGGCGGCUCACUGGUCCAUUACUGACGCUGAGGUGCGAAAGCGUGGGGAGCAAACAGGAUUAGAUACCCGUGUAGUCCCUGUCUCUUAUAC